UCGGGACAAGAUGACUCAUGCUGACUCACAGCCUCCACUUCCUCUCCCGACAUUCUCUUCAUGCUUGUGAGCUGGGCUGGUCCCGUUCCCAGGGUCUCUGCAGCCUUCCUGACCCUGGCCAAGAGACCCACACCCUGACCUCAGUGUAGCCCCGGGGGCGCCCCCCCAGGGGACGUGCUUUAUUUAGGAGAGCUGAGAACCGUGGAAAAAUAAAAUGUAGGAACCUCAUGUGCAUCUGAGUCUCCAACAGACACUGGAAUUUUGACAAGUAUUACUUCAAGAGUAUCCCAGAUUUGAAUAUUAAAGUGCCAAGGAAUGAAGAGAAGGUGAUUUCAUCUGCUGAUUACCUAACUGACUAGCACCGCCAGUGUCUGCUCUGAACAUUCAUCUUAUUCAUAGGGAGAGAACACGUAUUAACCAAGAGAGCAGCUGCUGGUGGGGAGACUAAUUUCUGUACCCAACGUUACAUCAAUGACGUUAUUUUAUUCAAUGUUUUCUUUUAUGGUGCUUUUGGAAUCCUCAUUAAGAAAUCUGCUUUGCCAAGCCCAUGAAGAUAUUCUCCAAUGUUUUCUUCUUUUAGAUCUUUUUGUUUAAUUUUUUCUACUUUCACAUUAAAGUCUGCCACCCAUCUGGAACUGAUUUUUAGCAACAUUAUUGUAUUAAAUAUUAAUUUGAUGUUUGUAUACAAUUUUAAUGUUUACUUGGUAGCAUUUGUCACAUUUUUGUUUUUAAAUGAGAAACAAAGAAUUUAAAAAGUACUAUUUCCUGGGUGGAAAAAACAUUAUAAAUCCUAAAAUUUUAACAUUGUUCUAUUUUAACUUGAGGAGAGUUGGAAUAUCAGAAACCGUGGUUUCCAUUUUGUAAGGGCAAAAAAAAAAAAAUCAAUUUGCCGUAAGUAUUCAUUAUAAACUCAGAGAAAGAAUGUUUAUAUGUAGUAAAUGAAUCGUGAUGACUAAGAUACUCAGACUGUUUUAAAGAAAGAUUCAUUCACUCAUUCAACAACACUUUACUGAUAUUUAUGUUAU